UACGUAGGGUGCGAGCGUUGUCCGGAAUUAUUGGGCGUAAAGAGCUCGUAGGCGGUCUGGCGCGUCGAUCGUGAAAACUUGGGGCUUAACCCUGAGCUUGCGGUCGAUACGGGCAUGACUGGAGUUCGGCAGGGGAGACUGGAAUUCCUGGUGUAGCGGUGAAAUGCGCAGAGAUCCGGAAGAACACCGGAGGCGAAGGCGGCUUGCUGGACCUGGUCUGACGCUGAGGCGCGAAAGCGUGGGGAGCGAACAGG
rnacentral:rRNA from 1 species